GACGAACGCUGGCGGCGUGCUUAACACAUGCAAGUCGAACGGAAAGGCCCUGCUUUUGUGGGGUGCUCGAGUGGCGAACGGGUGAGUAACACGUGAGUAACCUGCCCUCGACUUUGGGAUAACUUCAGGAAACUGGGGCUAAUACCGGAUAGGAGCUCCUGCUGCAUGGUGGGGGUUGGAAAGUUUCGGCGGUUGGGGAUGGACUCGCGGCUUAUCAGCUUGUUGGUGGGGUAGUGGCUUACCAAGGCUUUGACGGGUAGCCGGCCUGAGAGGGUGACCGGCCACAUUGGGACUGCGAUACGGCCCAGACUCCUACGGGAGGCAGCAGUGGGGAAUAUUGCACAAUGGGCGGAAGCCUGAUGCAGCAACGCCGCGUGCGGGAUGACGGCCUUCGGGUUGUAAACCGCUUUCGCCUGUGACGAAGCGUGAGUGACGGUAAUUGGUAAAGAAGCACCGGCUAACUACGUG
rnacentral:rRNA from 1 species